rnacentral:rRNA from 1 species
GUCCUUUUGGAUUUUUAUUUAAGGUCUAGUCUGCCCACUGAAUUUAUAUUUUAAAUGGCCGCAGUAUUUUGACUGUGCAAAGGUAGCAUAAUCAUUAGUUUUUUAAUUAAAAGCUUGUAUGAAAGGCUGGACGAGGUAAAAUCUGUCUCUAUUUAAAUUAUAGUAGAAUUUAACUUUUAAGUUAAAAGGCUUAAAUGUUAUUAAAAGACGAGAAGACCCUAUAGAUCUUUAUAGUUUAUUAAAUUAAAUUAAUUUAGAAAUGUUAAUGUUUUAUUUAAUUAAGUUAUUUUAUUGGGGUAAUAAAAAGAUUGAAUUAAUUCUUUUUUAUAAUAAACAUUAAUUUAUGAAUAUUAAUGAUCCAGUUUUACUGAUUAUAAGAUUAAGUUACCUUAGGGAUAACAGCGUAAUUUUUUUAGAGAGUUCAUAUCGAUAAAAAAGUUUGCGACCUCGAUGUUGGAUUAAAGAUUAUUUUAGGUGUAGAAGCUUAAUAAUUUUGGUCUGUUCGACCAUUAAAUCUUUAC